UCCCAGCUUCAUUCUAAGAAUGGACUUCAGGAAUUUUAAAAUCAUUACCUGGGUGAGGGACUUAAAACAAAUCCUUAAGGCCUAGAAGUGACAGAGAGGGAAUAACUGUAAGAGAAGCCCUGGUUUCCAGCCAAUUGGAUAAAAGAGAAACAUUUGACUGAGGAAGGCUCACCAGGAAAGAUCAUUCUUAAGAGUUGUUUUAAAACUGAAAAUUAUGAAGAUAUGGCGACUCAGAGUAAUAAGUGAAUUAGUACAGGACCCCAACUCAUCAAAAGGCAUGAUCUGUUGAUAAGAAAUAGAUGCUACCAUGCUGCCCAUGUCCAAAUGAGGAGACUACGGAGAACCAAGCUAUAUCACCAAAGAUACUGAAAGACAUUUAGAAACCGCACAGGAACGCCUAAGGAUAUUGCUAUUAAUUCAGUUUAUCCUGAAGUGUGCGUAAGAUUUGAAGAUGACAUAUGGAGUUUCCUAAAGACUGGAUGGUUACAAUAAAAGUGAAUAUACACCAAAAAGGAACUUCUUCAUUUAAGUUUCUCAUUUCUGGAAGAGCUAACAUAGCAUUAUGCAGGAUUUAAUUUUGGCUACCACUCGCUACAGUUGGUCAUCUCUCAUGAUAUAUCAUUGUGUAUUGUGCCAGGAAUUCUGAAAGUAUCAGCUCUGUCCUGACUCUUCCAUGUCCAUGUUGGGUUAUAUCAGGGGUGGGGAACGAUGGACCUUUUAUGACUUGUGGAUUUCAACUCCCAGAAUUCUGGGAGUCCAGGCUGGGAGAGGAGUCAUAUAUCAAAUGUCUCUCACAGCAAACUGGACUGGAAGGAAAUAAAUAAAAGGAAUAAGUGA